CGACGAUAGCCCGUUUGUUAUCGGGUCGGACUGAUAACGCGAUUAAGAACCAUUGGAAUUCUACUCUUAAACGUAAGUGUCCUUCUAUGUCUGAAGAUUUAAGCUUUGAUAAUCCUCAACCACCUUUGAAAAGAUCGGCUAGUGUUGGCCCGAGUAUGAUGAAUCCGGGUAGUCCUUCUGGAUCCGACUUGAGUGAUUCGGGUCUUUCCGGUUCGGGUUCGGGUCUGGAUCUCCCUCAACCUCUUGUUUAUCGUCCUGUUCCCCGUACCGGCUGUAUUUUCCCUCUCCCUCCUACUCCUGCUCCAUCUGUACCCGACCCGCCCACUUCUCUAUCCCUUUCUCUACCCGGCUCAGUAUCCGUACCCGGAUCCGGAUCAUUUGAAAAGCCAAGACAGUCCCCUCAAACACCACCACUACCACCACCGCAGCCUCCUCCUUUUGCGGCGGUUGAAAAGCCAAUUCCACCACCUGUACCGGUACUUUCUUCUACCCCGCCUUUCAUGGCCCAGGUCCCUCAAACCCAGCAACAAAGU
rnacentral:lncRNA from 1 species